rnacentral:rRNA from 1 species
AACCUACGGGGCGCAGCAGUAGGGAAUCUUCCACAAUGGGCGAAAGCCUGAUGGAGCAACGCCGCGUGGGUGAAGAAGGUCUUGGGAUCGUAAAACCCUGUUGUUAGAGAAGAAAGUGUGUGAGAGUAACUGUUCACGUUUCGACGGUAUCUAACCAGAAAGCCACGGCUAACUACGUGCCAGCAGCCGCGGUAAUACGUAGGUGGCAAGCGUUAUCCGGAUUUAUUGGGCGUAAAGGGAACGCAGGCGGUGUUUUAAGUCUGAUGUGAAAGCCUUUGGCUUAACCAGAGUAGUGUAUUGGAAAU